GCUGGCAGGCGGUUGCUAGGCUCCAGCGGCUCCCGGCCAGCGGGGACGUGGAGGUGACAUUUCUCUGACCCACAGGACUGUGGGCGCCCUGCCGAGCGUCGCGCGGUCUUGGGGCGACCUGCAGUGGGGCCCCUGCGGCGCAGCGCGCGGUGGGACUGGCCGGGUUCCCGCGCCGCCCAGGGCCUGUGUCUGCGCCGGUUCCUGGCAAGGGCACCUUGGCCGGGCGGCCCGCGUCCCCUGCGCUUCCCACACCCACGUGGGCGGACCCGGCCCGCAAGCUGGGCCAGCCUGCGGUUUCCGGGCACUGGGGAGUGCGCAGAGCCCCGGGCCAGCGACCGCAGCCGGGGCCCCUGGCUUCUCCCGAGCACUUUCCCCCGGACCGGUCCCUCCAGGGUGGCGGGCGGCACCCAGGGCCGGCGCUCCUCACCAACGCGCUGCAGCUACGGGCUCAGGAGGGAGCCGCAGCGUCGGAGGAGGAAAGCAUUUAAGAAUAGCACAAAGCCUUAGGCUCGAGGAAGCGUGACUGCUUACGUGUUGAAAAUAAAGGUUCUGUAAGUCCCACCGCGGGUGCAUAUUGAAAAGAAAGGGAUCAUUAGCACGCGACCCUCGCCUAGGAGUAUAUAAACCGCAGCACGACUUUCGGAUCACAAAGGCAGAGAAAAGAACACAUUGAAGGCUUUUGCUCACUUUUCCAAGUUGUUUCGUUUCGUUUUGUUUCUAAUGUGGACGAUCAUUUAAAAUGCCUCUGGUGGCCGGGCGCGGUGACUGACGCCUGUAAUCACAGCACUUUGGGAGGCCGAGGCGGGCGGAUCACCUGAGGUCAGGAAUUCGAGACCAGCCUGGGCAAUACGGUUAAACCCCCUCUCUACUAAAAAUAAAAAAAUUAGCUGGGCGUGGUGGCAUGUGCUUGUAGUCCCAGCUACUUGGGAGGCUGAGACAGAAGAAUCGCUUGAACCCGGGAGGCGGAAGUUGCAAUGAGCCAAGAUUGCGCCAUUGCAUUCCAGCCUGGGCAACAGAGCAAGACCCUGUCUCCAAAAAAAACAAAUAAAUAUAACAAAAUUCCUCUGGUAGCCGGGUGCGGUGGCUCACGCCUGUAAUCUCAGCACUUUGGGAGGCUGAGGCAGGUGGAUCACUUGAAGUCAAGAGUUUGAGACCAGCCUGGCCAAUAUAGUGAAACCUCAUCUCUACUGAAAAUACAAAAAUUAGCCAGGCGUGGUGAUGCGCUCCUGUGAUCCCAGCUACUCGGGAGGCUGAGGCGUGAGAAUCGGUUGAACCCGGGAGGUGGAGGUUGUAGUGAUCCGAGAUUGUGCCAUUGCACUCCAGCCUGGGCAACAGAGGGAGAUCCUGUCUCUAAAAUAAAAAAUAAAAGAAAUGCCUUUGGUGAACAGGAAUUCUCAACAUUAGUGACCCGCAGUGUAUUAGUGUUAAUAAUGGACAUCCCCUUUGAUCCAGCAAGCCCAUCUAGAGAUUUCCUAGGAUAGACAAGCCAGUUUGUGCAAUUUCAUGUGUACAGCAUUGUUUUUAGUAUGGAAAGAUUAGAGUUUACAUAUCUACCCAUAGGGAGAGAGUUAAAUAAAUUAUGGUGCAUCCGUUUAGUGGAUUAGUAUACAGCCAUUAGGAAUAAAGGAAUUCUUUAUGUGCUGAUAUGAAAUAUCUUUUUUAUUUUCAAGAAAAAAACCCAGGUUCUGAAUAGUGUAUAAAGUAUGCUACUCAUUGUGCAUAGGGACAAAGAAAAUAUAUACAUUCAUGUUUGCAAAGAUACUGGAGAAAUGUUAGUAGUGGCUGCCUCUAAGGAUGACCAAGAGUGACACUGACUUUUCAUUGUAUCUUCCUUUGUUCUUUUUGAAAUUUGUACAGUCUACUUAUGCUAUCUAUUCAAAAUAAGUGGUGUUAAGAAGAAAUGCCUUUGAGAAUGAAAAUGGUAAGCCCUUGAUUGAGUGGGGUUCAUUUUCUGUUAGGAUCGUGGUCUCUAUUGGUCACAGCUGACCUUGAUCGUCACUGAAAGUGUAUCUCAUUACACAAUAUUGCAGUCUUGAACACCAGGAAGGUUGUUCUGUUCCACAUGAACAUGCUUCAUGAUGGGGUUAGGAAUGUACAACCUGUGAAAAGUGAGGGAGUCUUGAUUAUUAAUAAUAAUAUUAUUAAUAGCUACCUUUUCUUGAUCAUUAGGCACUAUUUGUACAUUAUUUCUCCUUCUCACAUCAACCCAGAAGGUAGGUAUAAGGAAACUGAGUGGCUUCUUGAAUGAAGCCAAACUGCUCUGCAAGAUUGGUGGAAAAGGAGACUCUCCAUGUGCUAACAGGUUCCUGGAUCUCAUAGCUGCUCUGUCUUAGCCCUUAAUAUGUUUCUUUUCCUCAUGGAUGGUGGUUCUGAAACCUGAGCUGUCAGAAGAAUCCUUGGCAGAUUCCUAGAUCCCAGCCUCAGACUCAGAAGGUCUGGAGUUGGGGCUGAAAGCUGCGUGGCUAAUGGGCACUGCAGGUGACUCUGAGGCUGCUGGUCAGUGUCUAGCACUUGGAGAAACUCUACUGAGGGCACCUGCCCCUAAUGCACUGUUGCCACCACUGGGCUGGGGUCAAGAGGCUUUACUUCCCACAUUUGGGCCUCAAUUGGGACCUCUGAGCUUUCCACUAGUUUCCGUUCCAUGAAGGAGUACAAAUUGGAGUAUGUAAAGACAAAAGACAUACGUAAGUGGAUAAUUUGGGUUUGAACUAAGUUCUCUGCGACUCUCAAAGCCAUACUUCCCCCAUGUUGCCACAAAAAGUAUUUGUUUCAUGUUGCCAUGUAUCUCUUACUUCAAAUAUGAAGCAGGAAUGUGAUCUAAAGCAUAAGAACAUAGCAAUAGAUAGACCCAUGUACAUGAUUUCGUAAAACUUUAGAAAGGCCAGUCCUACAUGGUUUGUCCAUAUUUGGACGGUGUGUGGAAUGCACAAAUGAAAGCAUCACUGGCUAUUCUGAACCCCAGGUUUGUGGAAGUGAGUGUAAAGGCCCAGCAGUGAGCCCCAAUCUCACCUGCCCAUCAAAGUUCAGAAACGACAAUCAGAAUAGGCCGCACUUGGCGCUUCCCUGUAGACACAGGAUCUGUGAGUUUGGACAGAUUUCUGGUCAGUUUGGAAGGAAGCUGGCCUCUGUUAACAGAGCACCCCUUAUGGGUCAGUGUUGUGUCCAUCAGCUUCCUAUGAUUGAAGAAAAGCUUCCACUUGUAAUAAACCAACUUCUCUCAUCCAGUUAUCAACAUAGACCAAAAAAAAAAAGAAAAAAAAAAGGCCAGGCGCAGUGGCUCAUGCCUGUAAUCCCAGCACUUUGGGAGGUCAAGGUGGGCAGAUCACUUGAAGUCAGGAGUUCAAGACCAGUCUGGCCAACAUGGUGAAACCCUGUCUCUACUAAAAAUACAGAAAUUAGCCGGGAAUUGGUGGUGCGCACCUAUAGUUCCAGCUACUCAGGAGGCUGAGGCAGGUGAAUCGCUUGAAUCCAGGAGGCGGAGGUUGCAUUGAGAGGAGAUCAUGCCACUGCACUGGGCGGCAGAGCAAAACUCUGUCUCAAGAAGAAAAAGAAAAAAGAAAAAAGCGGAGUCGUUCUGUGAGUGAAAACACUGAAUUCCACCGGUUCCUGAUCAUAUUGCCUUUAUUUCAUUCAUUCAUUCAUUCUGGAAAUGGGGAUAAAUAGCCCGUUUGUCUUUCCUGCAGGUUUGUUACGAUGGUGAAGGCAAUUUAGAAGGAACUAUUUAGUGGAGGAUAAAAGUGUUUUGUAAAUGUUAAGAUGCAUUGUUUUGUUUCUGUCCUGUUGCCCAAUUUUCUCUCAGCCCAACACCUGCCUCUAUUUGGUUCUUAGGUUACACAUUAAUUCCAUUUGCUUAGUAAUUUAAAGAAUGUACUGUAGUACACCAAUAAGCUAACAAACUCGGGCCCUUGACCCCAAGUCACCAGUGUCACCUAGAUUCAAAAACCAAUAUAACGAGUCAAGUAUGAAUGCACAAUAUUUUAGCUAAGCCCUUCCUGUCCCACCUCUAAUGAAUCCACAUGCUGCCCCAGGGCUUGGUACAUGCUGUUAAGUAAGCAGCUUUGCUCCCUCCUGCUCCCUGUUUUUGUCUUAGGUUGGUUUCAGUCCUUCCACUGUGGAUGGAGAAGUCACAAAGAAAUGGUUUUGCAGGCAAGGAAUCUUUACUCUGUUUAGCAACUCAGUAACUUGCUAGCAAAUAAAUGGCAAAGGGUCAAAGGAAGUGGAAACAUCACUAUUUUGCAAUCCCUAUUGAAAUGAGGGAUUCAAGCAGCAAUCAUCAAUAGAAGCCAAAAUCCUCCUUUGACGGGAACUGGAUAAUCCCAAGUGCUGGACUGUCGCCCACAGAUUCUCCGCUGCUGGUCAUGAGGGGAAAAGUGCUCAACAUACUAUACAGGCAGCUUACCCAACCCCUCUGUCCCCAGGAGCUGGGAGCAGGGAGAAAUAGUGAGGAGGUUUUCAUGGUCAAAUGUAUUUAGGAGACUUAUUUGAAUCAGGCAAUUACUUAAUUUCUGCAGCUCUUCUGAGAGCCUUUACUAAGCUAUGUGAAUUGUGAUACCGCAAGAGGAACUCUCACCAUGUAGCAUUUCCCAAAUUUUUAUUGAGACAGAGUCUCACUCUGUCACCCAGGAUGGAGUGCAAUAGCGUGAUCUCAGCUCACUGCAAUCUGCUUCCCAGGUUCAAGUGAUUGUCAUGCCUCAGCCUCCCAAGUAGCUGGGAUUACAGGCCUGUGCCACUAUGCUCAGCUACUUUUUGUAUUUUUAGUAGAGACAGGGUUUCACCAUGUUGGCUGGUCUGGUCUCGAACUCCUGGUCUCAAGUGAUCCACCUGUCUCGGCUUCCCAAAGUGCUGGGAUUAGAGACGUGAGCCACUGCGCCUGGUCCUCCCAAACUUCUUUGAACAUAGAGCCCGUUUGGAAGGUGGAUUUGUGGGACUAAGCCUCCCAGGGGCUCCGGUGGCUGUACGCCCUGAUGGCUGUGCACCCCGACCGCUGUGCACCACGACAGCUUCCAUGCCUUCCAAGCUGGGGGGUGCCAUGGGAGGGCUCAGAGCCUCACCCCAGGCUGGAUGAGCUCGACUGCUUUGUAGCUGCCUGUAUGUGGCAAGUAACUAACACUCCCUAGGCCUCAAUUUUUUAAUCUAUAAAAUGAAAGCAGUAAAUGUCACAUCAUAUAAGUUGUUGAGUAUUUAUGAGAAUUAAAAGGAAUAAUCGCCAUAAAAGGCCUGAUACUGCCAAUCAUAUAUUGGACAAAUAUGAAUUUCCCUUUUUCCCUUUAUUCUACUUUAUGGCAACUCCUACCUACUAUUCUCUUUCUUUUGCUACUAAGCAGACAUAUGGGUUUGUUUGUUUGUUUUAUCAGGGAGAGGUUCUAAAUGUUGUACCCUUUAACCCUCAAAGCAUUAUCUAUUCUCUUAGAGGGUAAAGGGCAGAGAUGUUAUCCCUAUUGGUUUCUAACCUUGGAGAAGGUCAGAAACGUCAUGAGCUCUCUCUAGAUCCUCUUAUCUGCUUCUCUUACACAAUCGUUUGGUUCUGUGUGUGGUGAAAACUGAAUUGGGGGAAAAUCAGAUCGGCAGAAACCAAAUGUUGAACCAACUGGUGAAUAGAGAAAUACAGAUUAAGUAUCCCUACAAUGGAAUAUUAUUCAGCAAUAGAAAGAAAUGAAGUAUGGACCCAUGCAUGGAAGGAUGCAGGGGUGUUUCCUACAGCAUAGAAGGACCUUGAAAACACAGGGCUAAGUGAGAGGAGCCGGACAGGAAGGAUCAUGUAUUGUGUGGUCUGCUCAUGUAUGAUCUGCUCACAUAUUGUAUGAUCUGCUUACAUGAAAUGCCCAAGGUAGGCAAAUCCAGAGUCAGGAAAUAGGUCGGUGGUUGCCAGGGACAGGGACUUUUGGGGGAAAAUAGAGAGUGGCUGUUAACAGGGACCUGCUUUCUUCUAGGGUGAUGAAAAUGGUCUAACAUUGAUUGUAGUGAGGGUUGUGCAGCUCUGUGAAUAUGCUAAAGAACCAUCGAAUUGGACACUUUAAAUGGGUGCAAAUUAUAUUCCAAUAAACUAUCUGUAGAAACUUAAGAGUUUAUUAUUAUUAUUAUUUUGAGACGGAGUCUUGGUCUGUCGCCCAGGCCGGAGUGCAGUGGCGUGAUCUCAGCUAACUGCAACCUCCGCCUCCUGGGUUCAAGCGAUUCUCCUGCCUCAGCCUCCUGAGUAG
rnacentral:lncRNA from 1 species